UACUGGAAACGGUAGGCUAAUACCGCAUAAUGUCGCAAGACCAAAGAGGGGGACCGUUCGGGCCUCUUGCCAUCGGAUGUGCCCCAGAUGGGAUUAGCUUGUUGGUGGGGUAACGGGCUCACCAAGGCGACGAUCCCUAGCUGGUCUGAGAGGAUGACCAGCCACACUGGAACUGAGACACGGUCCAGACUCCUACGGGAGGCAGCAUG
rnacentral:rRNA from 1 species